rnacentral:lncRNA from 1 species
AAUCUCUUUUUAUACCCUCCCACCUUCUUUCGCAACACAUAUUCUCACGUCAAUGCCUCCUUUCUUUGCUCAAGCUAUUCUCCUCUGUUGCCUACAUCUAACGCCAUGCCAGCUCCUUCUCUAAUGCCCGAUUUGCAGUUCUUCUUGGGUUGUCUUCGACCACUCUUUAUGUUUGAAGAGCCUCCAUCUCUUUCCAUAAUCUUGCAACAGGUUGUUGAAAAUGAAACCUAUGUAAUGAUCUUCUUGCAUAUCAAGAAAGACGAUGGGGAGGAAAACGAGAAGCCCAGGAUUUCUAUGUGAGUGCAUAAACUGUAGGUUGCUUAACCUUUCGUAGUUGUUGGGAUGGUGGACACUUGAGAGCCACUUCAUUUCUUAAACACCAUCCAAGGCAAUGUUACAAUAGAAGAUCAUACUAUAUUCAUCAAUAGAACUAAAGAGCAAUCCAAGAUUUUUUUUUUGUUUUGUUUUUUGAUAAGGUUGAGCAAUGCAAUGUUAGAAAUAUUAACAGAGAGAAGGUGAAUCCUAUUUUAUCCUUCAAGUCCUGCUAAUUGGCAGACCUUCAAAUCCUUAUUCAGUAGAUUAGAGACAAUGAUAUCGGGUUCUGCCAAGCUAUCUUCUAUAGCCUUUCUUCUAGAGAAUUAUACAUUUUGUUUUAGAAAUACAGCGAGAUGCCAACCACCGCGGUUUGGAGUCAGGACCUCUCCCAAGUAGAAAGAGGAUGCCUGCAAGCUAAGCAAGGCUAGUUGGGAGUAGAAAGAAAAAAGUCAGUAUCAUGAAAAGAUAAAGAGGGCACAUUGCAGGAAAGAGAAGAAAUAAUGGGAUAACUUAUACUUCCUAUCCAAAG